GCCCAGCAAAGACAUGUCGUAUUCAUAACUUUAAAACAAAGUGUACUCAGUGUGGGCAGUCGGGGGGAUCGUUCAACCUGCCUGUCUGUCUCUCUUCCAUGGUUACUUAUGCCCGCGCCUGGGUGCUCUUGGAGCGUGAUCACAGUGUCCACCGGUACGCUUGAGACCUUCUGCAGCCAAUGGGUGCCCGCAGGGGCAAGAGUGCAUCAUCAGCCCAGUUAAUUGAUGCUCAAAGAGUAAAUCACAACAACUGCAGAAACAGUGGCAGCGCAAGGAGCAGCAACAUCUAUACCUUAAGAGCUGGAGAUGGUAACAUCACAAGGGUCAUCAAGCCUGUUCCUUCUCGAGUUCACCAAUACAACAAACUGACCUCCUGCUAAUGAGACUACAUGUAACUAACUCCGUGACGUGUAGAAAGCCCAUCUCUUUGAAAGAAUCCUCCAACAACUAUGGUGUUCACAGGCUGAAUCUUUCUCACUUUGAAAAGUUUGCAAUUAGCAAAAGAACCACCGGCAUGAGCAGGAAAAACACGUUAUGCAGCAAAUUGUUGUGAUCUGAAAUGCACUGACUGAAAGGGUGGUGGAAGAACUUUCAAUAAUAACUUUCAAAAAGGAAAUGGAUAAAUAUUUGAACAGGAAAAUUUUAUAAGGCCUUUGGAAAAGGACUAGGGGGUGUGGGACUAAUUGAGAAGCUCUUUCAAAGAGUCUGUAUUGGCACAAUGGCCUCCUUCUGUGCUGUACAAUUCAGUGGUUCUCUGAAGAAAAUUAAAAUAAGGAUGCUACAAGUUGUGUAUGUAAACAUGGAUAUUUCAUAGUAAUAUUAAAGUUGCACGAAACACUGGAAGCUGCAUGAAUAUAUUUUCAACUUCCAAGUCAGCGUGUGGUCAUUGGAAGGAACUGGAGUGUAUAUUACAACAGACGGAACUUCUGCUCUCAGGAAAUACAAAGCUGUGCUAACUGUGAAUGGACUGAGGUUGGAGACAGCACUGCAGCAUCUUUCUCCAUAGUAACAGAUGGCUUCAUCAAUGCUGCCCUUUCACCCUCUGCCUCGUCUCCAUAAGGCAGAUUUUCUGAUUAUACCUCACAUUCUACUGCAGUUAUUGUGCUAGGGAUUGGGUGUUUCCAGCUUAGAUGAAAUCGUUGGAGCUUCACUAAUUUUUAGCGAUAUGCCAGUGACGUAACGACCUACAGUAAUCAUUGAUCAGGGAGCUAAGGAAAGAAGGCUGUUUUGUAUUUCAUGUACAAACAUUCAUAAUUAUUCAUAUUUGCUCAGUGCUUAGAAAAUUGAGAUUUCAUUGAAGCAUAUGAAAUUCUGAGGGGAUUCACAGAGGAGAAACUGAAAAAAGGUUUCUCCUGGCUGGAGAGCCUAGAAUCAGAAUUCACAGUUUCCAGAUAUGGGGAUGGCCUUUUAGGAUGGAGAGGAGGAGAAAUUUCUUUACUCAAAGUAUCUUUGGAAUUCUCUAACCCAGGAAUCAAUGAUGUCAUGUCAUUGGUUUGGCCACUUCUCUAGUGAUAUGUUAUCUUCAUUCUCCCUUCAAAAAACACCUUCACUGUAAAUUGUAACUGCAUUCCUACUUCAAUGCCUGUUGUAUAUUCACAGAAAUUAAGUGUUUGUUAUUUAUCCAUGCCCAGGAAUAAAGGGAUGAAAGUUAAAAACAGGAUUUGAAAAACAAAUGAUAAAAAUGUUUUUACUAAGUAAGAAGCUGAGUAUUUGCCCUUUGGGCAUAUGGACUAAAAAAAAUAUUAAAGCUGAAAAUCAGAUUAUGAAAAUGUUUCUAGGAAGUAAUUUAUUUGAAGCUUUUCUUUUAUACAACAGAAUC